rnacentral:rRNA from 1 species
UACGUAGGGUGCGAGCGUUGUCCGGAAUUAUUGGGCGUAAAGAGCUCGUAGGCGGUGUGUCGCGUCGGUCGUGAAAACUUGGGGCUUAACCCUGAGCUUGCGGUCGAUACGGGCAUCACUGGAGUUCGGCAGGGGAGACUGGAAUUCCUGGUGUAGCGGUGAAAUGCGCAGAUAUCAGGAGGAACACCGGUGGCGAAGGCGGAUCUCUGGGCCUUACCUGACGCUCAGGUGCGAAAGCUAGGGGAGCGAACAGG